UCUCCUUUUGGACAUGCUUUUCUUGGGAGA
rnacentral:piRNA from 2 species